AUUGGAUUUAACAUAAGGAAGAAAAAGGAGGAGUGAUGAGAAGAGAGAACAGCUAAAGAAGGCUUUGAAAUGCCACCUCGUCAGAAGUUCUUGGGACAAAGAGGUGUAUCUACAGAAAGACAGAAAAUUAAUCACAGGAACGGAACACACUCUGGAUUUUCUUCCGAUGUGCAGACAACGCUGAUUGAAGUAUUGAGUCCACCUUCCUGUAAAUAUUCCAUUUCAAUAGAUUGCCAAAAGGAACUGAAAAAUACUUCAAAGAAAUCCCAUCCUCAAAAGAGUCAGAGUGGAGAGAGUCACUGGAGCAUUGAAGGAGAAACCUUAAACCUAGUAAGUGAGCUUAGAGUUUUCAAGAGGGAAAAUUAUGCAGAUAAAACAGGUCCUGAUGUAAUUAUUUUCUUUAUCAUU
rnacentral:lncRNA from 1 species